rnacentral:tRNA from 1 species
GCGCGGUUAGCUCAGUUGGUAGAGCAACUCUUUUACACAGAGAAGGUCGGGGGUUCAAGUCCCUCACCGCGCACCA